AUCUGCACGGAUCAAAGCAGAGGAUUCAUCGUUAGAACAACCGAGCCCACACUUUGCAUCCUCCUCCAGCUUUGAAUGACACGAUGCUCUCCAUCAGAGAUCAGAUGACACAUCAUGAACGAUAUGUGAUGAGAAAGCAAAGGGCUGAGUUACCUGCAGUGAUGUCUUCUCUCCUCUCAGCUGAGCAGAAUCCGGACCAGACCCUCCUCGAUCCAGUUCAAGUGUGAAGGGGAAACCACAGUGACAGUGAAACUUCCACUCCGUGGAGGAGGACCCGCUCCCUCUGCAGAUAUAAAGGCUCAUUCUAACACUACAUAUAACAGAACUAUUCUAAUUUUCAGGAUAACAUCCAAAUUCAGGAGGUCUUGUCACAGAUGAGGACACAGAGGCGGUAGAUGUUGAGAAUGACA